UAUAAAAGAAUUUAAAUUUAUUUUGUUUGUUGCAGUUAUUUGUUCGUCAUUCAAUGAAAAUCAAUUUUGUUGCUGGUUUGAAUGCAAUAUUGAGUGAGGAGCACAAGGAUGUUAUUUCGAAGAUGCCAUUUGCAUGGUUUUUAGAAUUGCAAGAUAAUCUAAAGAUGAAGACUUUUUCAAUGAUUUUGCAAGUGAGGAAGGAUUUGACAGCAAUGAAAGCGAUAAGAAGGAAGGACAACGUCGAAAGCAUUUCAAAAGCGAAGCCUGUAGAACUCCCUACACCGGUUACAGUCCAAAUCUAGGUUGAGAGUCAUCUCAUUUUUGUAAUAUUGUAGUAUUUGGUAUUUAUAUAAGAAUGUAAACUUGUAUUUGGAACAGUUAAUAUGACUGUGAAUAAUGAAAGUUAUUUUUGGAAAGGAUAUUUUAUUGUGUUGUUGAUUCCCUAUGUUAUUUAAUUUUGAUUCAUUAUUUAAGUUAAGUGAAGCGUAUGUUUAUGACGAGGACCAAGUAGAGGAUUGUGUGGGUUGGGAUGUAACUUGGUGCAUCAAUGACAAUCACACACCACUUGAAAUCACACAACACUUGUACCCUCCCCACCUAAUUCUAACCAAGUUAGCCCCCAACACCCAAUUGGGAGCAGCGUUCAAAAAACCAGGGAGCAACCAUCAACUUUUGGUACAAAAUCAAUUUUCUCACCUGGUAAUCGCUUACAGCCUGUUUGUAAGUGAUUACACAGGAUAAUUGGUCAUGAAAAUCACACACCACAUGAAAUCACACAGCACUUGUACCCUCCCCACCUAAUUCUAACCAUGUUAGCCCCCAACACCCAAUUGGGAGCAGUGUUCAAAAAACCAGGGAACAACCAUCAACUUUCGGUACAAAAUCCAUUUUCUCACCUGGUAAUCGCUUACAGCUUGUUUGUAAGCGAUUACACAGGUUAAUUGGUCAUGAAAAUCACACGCCACUUGAAAUCACACAGCAUUUGUACCCUAAUUCUAACCAUGUUAGCCCCCAACACCCAAUUGGGAGCA
rnacentral:lncRNA from 1 species